CCUCUCUUUCCCCAGGAAUACCUGCAAGGUGAUAGCACCAAGGCACUGACAAAGUUAGGCUGGAAAGCAAAGAUCACUUUUGAGGAACUGGUGAAAGAGAUGGUUGAUGCUGACAUCCAUCUCAUGAAGAAUAACCCUAACGCAUAAAACCACAUCCUGUGGAUCAACCCAAACCUAGGGAAUUGUCUGAGCACUCCUGACCAGAGUGCACUGUGACUCAACAGUCGCACCAUGCGGUGAAAAGAAUAUAAAACUAGUCUGGAUCAUUUUUUUCAUCACUUUGCUGUCCCAAACAAAGUUACUUGGUCUGUUUUUUUGCCUUUUGCUAUGGUGAGGGGAAGAUUAUUCGAUGCCUUUUAAAUAAUACCAUUCCUUAUUUUUGAUUUUAAUCUUAAUAUAUUUUUUCUCACUGAUCAUGAUUUAGUAGCCUAAUAUGGUGAUAGGACUUGUAAUUGUUUUUAUUCGACACUGUCUCUGGGAUAUAUGGGAUUGUAUUGUUGUCUUGUGUUUGUGUGUUUUAAUCACCUGGCAUAUAGGUCAGAGGUUGCAGUUUGUCCUUUUAGAAAAAAAAACAAGUAUAACUUUAAUUAUGUGUUAUUGUAAGAUGACCAACAAAUUUGUUUUAAAUGUUAUUCAGCAUUUGUGAAAACUUUUGUAUUCCCAUCUGACAUAUUUAAUUCAGAAUAUAAGCAUUUUGGUACAAUAAAACUUGUUCUUUUGAUACAUUA